rnacentral:rRNA from 1 species
AAGGGACGAAUAGGUUGCGAAGCCGCGAGGCGGAGCCAAUCCAGCAAAACUUACCCUCCAGUUCAGAUUGCAGGCUGCAACUCGCCUGCAUGAAGUUGGAGUUGCUAGUAAACGCAGGUCAGCCAUACUGCGUUGAAUACGUUCCCGGGGCUU